GGCCAAUGAUGCAUAAAGUAUUUGCUACUCUUGAAUAUAGCUGAUGAUAAAUAUCACCAAAAUUUCUGAGGCC